ensembl:lncRNA LINC01606 long intergenic non-protein coding RNA 1606
AGAGGCAGGGGAGCUGUCACUCGCGGCGAGCCGGGCGGCGGCCAGGGCGCAAAGUUGAGAGCAGUCUCUAGUCUGAGCCUUUCAGUCGCCUUCCAGUAUCAUCAGUACCACGGGCUCCACCUUGCUGCGGCCCCUCAGCAACCCAGUGCACCUGCCACUCGACCAGAUCUGGAGGCUGGAACUCUGAGAUCUGGGUGCCAGCAUGAUUGGGUUCCAGUGAGGACUCUCUUCCUGGCUUGCAGAGGGGCACAGUCCCCUUUCCUAGAGGGAAAGCAGUCAGGAGUGGGAGGCCUCUGAACAAGCUGUAUUUUGUGUAGCCGCCAGCUUCCAUCUUUCUCCAGGCAGAACGCUGGCCCUCAGCACAUCUUUCUGCUUCCCCUCGGUCAGACCACCGAGAACUGCCGCUGUCCUGUCUGACUCCUCCUGUUUUGGUACUAGACCCCAGAUGAGGAUCUCAGGAAGAUCCACAAAGCUGCGUCCAGGGGAACGAACGUGUGGAAGCUGCAGCGGAGCCUCCUGCUCAAGAGUAAAGGACCGGUCUGAAACCUACAAGAACAGAUUCUCACAGUAGACGAGGAGCCUGUUUUUCAGCUAGCUGCUGCAAGGAGCUGGACAUUUCUCCCUUCAAAUAGGACCUGGAAGGCCUGGAAGCAUCUGGAGAAGGGCAUGGCUGUGAGUAGAGAAACAGAGGAUACAGGCUAAAGCAGGAGGAAGCGAGAGGACUCACGGAAAGCCUUGCUGCACUCUCCAAAAGAGCUGCCCUUUUCACGUGAAGAGCUAUGUGAUCGGAUCCCCGGUUUGGCAGAGUAGACAUGCGAGAAGACUGAACGUUUCAUCGUUGAAACCUCUUAAAGGUGGAAUGUGUGGCAGAAAGAACGUCUGAGAAGCUCACGCGAUUUGCAGAAGGAACAUUUGUAGAAGAUUCCCUGUUUUCCGAAGGAAUGUCAAGUUCCAAAGGACACAUAUUGCUUGUCUCUGAACUUCUCAGCUGCCUGCAGAUCUUCCUGUUUUUCAGCUGCAGUUAGGGUUUGUCUGAGGAGAAGCAUAACAUCCCUCCAGGCUUACCCUGGUUGCUCAGUGAAGAAUAAAGUACAGGGAACAUGAGAGAAUACAUGGGAGAUCAAUCAAGAUGCUACUUCAGUAAUCCAUGACAAUGACAACGUAAAGUAAUGCAAGGUGCACGUGAUGGGUAUGGCCAAAUGCUCCACAAAUAAAUGUGUUGAAUGAAUGAACAAAUGAAUAA